rnacentral:tRNA from 1 species
GGUCCCAUAGUUAAAUGGAUAUAACGGCUCUUUCCUAAAGAGCAAUUGCAAGUUCGAUUCUUGCUGGGACUA